AGCAAGCAACAGAGCAAACAGUCAAAGGCGAAGUAUCAAUGGGAGAUCAUGAAGGAGUUCGACCUGAAGGACUCCGAA
rnacentral:snRNA from 1 species